GGACUAUCAGUCAUACUGGGCGGGGCUGGGACUUAAUGGGGUUGGGUUUCCAGGAGAGGGUUGGCGCCCGCACCUUGCACUUCUGGGCACUUCAGGAACGCGAGGAGGGCGUACACAGUGUGGCGCCCACGGCCUCGGUGUCGCCAAAGAGAAGGUAUGGGUGGCCGUCAGCAGGGUGUCCAUGUGGCAAUGGCUCAGCGGGCGCUGCUUCUCUGUUGGGGGAAAGGGGUGGGGAUAUGAGCCAGGACUGCGGGCGCGGAGCCUGUGCGCCCCAUUCCCGCAGAUCUAUGUCACUGCUGGGGCUGCUUUUAAAUCAUCUCCGUUCACCCCCUUUACCCCUCCUCUGUUGUUUUCCCAGUGACUUUUUUUU